GAUGAAGAACGUAGCGAAAUGCGAUACUUGGUGUGAAUUGCAGAAUCCCGUGAACCAUCGAGUCUUUGAACGCAAGUUGCGCCCGAAGCCAUUAGGCCGAGGGCACGCCUGCCUGGGCGUCACACGUCGUUGCCCCCCCAUCUACUCCUUCGGGAUUGCGGGGGGCGGAUGAUGGCCUCCCGUGCGCCUCGUCGCGCGGUUGGCAUAAAUGCCAAGUCCUCGGCGACGCACGCCACGACAAUCGGUGGUUGCGAAACCUCGGUUGCCCGUCGUGUGCGGUCGUCGCGCAUCGAGGGCUCGAAAAAAUUACCGGGCUCCGGCUCGGCUUUCAACGCGACCCCAGGUCAGGCGGGGUUACCCGCUGAAUUUAAGCAUAUCAAUAAGCGGAGGA
rnacentral:misc_RNA from 1 species